CCUACGGGUGGCAGCAGUGGGGAAUAUUGCACAAUGGGCGCAAGCCUGAUGCAGCCGUGCCGCGUGUGUGAAGAAGGCCUUCGGGUUGUAAAGCACUUUCAGCGGGGAGGAAGGCGUUAAGGUUAAUAACCUUGGCGAUUGACGUUACCCGCAGAAGAAGCACCGGCUAACUCCGUGCCAGCAGCCGCGGUAAUACGGAGGGUGCAAGCGUUAAUCGGAAUUACUGGGCGUAAAGCGCACGCAGGCGGUCUGUCAAGUCGGAUGUGAAAUCCCCGGGCUCAACCUGGGAACUGCAUUCGAAACUGGCAGGCUAGAGUCUUGUAGAGGGGGGUAGAAUUCCAGGUGUAGCGGUGAAAUGCGUAGAGAUCUGGAGGAAUACCGGUGGCGAAGGCGGCCCCCUGGACAAAGACUGACGCUCAGGUGCGAAAGCGUGGGGAGCAAACAGGAUUAGAUACCCGAGUAGUC
rnacentral:rRNA from 1 species